GGUCAGGUCGCCUUGACUACCACUGAGCCAGAGCUCAUGCCCACAUCCCCACCCCUAGCCAGUGGUUGGGGGAAGGAUCCUGGAAGUGAGGGACCCACCACCCCUAGCACCUGCUUCCAAGAACUUCACCCAUCAACUGAACCCACCAGCUUGGAAAGGCUGCUCUGGCAACAAUGGCACCUCUCCCCUGGACCCCAGUGACCCACAGAAAACCAGCAAACUUGGCAGGGGCGGGAGCUGGGCCAUGUAGAGGCCCCCUGCCCUGUCAAUUUUACUCAGCUCCAAAUGGCAAGUCCAAGCAUCUGUGCCCUUGCUCCUUGUGUUUCUGAAAUGGCCAGUCUGUGCUGAGGGCACUGUUCUCAAUCUUGACUCUGCAGGAAUUCUGUGACCUGGGAAAUGACUGCUUUUCUGGGGUCCCAUGUUCUUAUCCACACAGGACAGGGAUUCCCACCUCCAGAGUUUCCACAGGCUCAGGAGCUCCUGUUGGUGCUCUGGGGGCUGGCUGGGGCUUCCCAACCCUGUUCAGCUCCCAUAUGUGGUUCCCAGCACCUGCCUGCCACUCUGCCAAGGUCUGUUCCUCCUUGGCCUGCAAGUUCCCGGUUUUCAUCAUCUCUUCUCGCAGGUAUUCCAUGUCCUUCUCCAACUUCAACUGUGGGACACAUGGGCCAUGGGAUUUGGGGUCAGUAGGCCCCACAUCUAGAUGGUGCCCUCUGAAGCUGCGUCCACCCCAAAGACCAUUCCAGUGGGGUGCAGGGGAUGGAACUAUGCCACCUCAAAUAUGCCAAAGGAUUACUUUGAGAUGGAGGCAAUUGAGAGUCAAAGAUGUAGAAAGAUGCCUUCCCACGGCUCCCAUUAUAUGAUGAAAGCAUCUCUCUGGGGAUAUUUUGUGCUCAUGAAGAAGAUGCAAAAUUGGUGCUAAUGGAGUUCCCAUUGUGGCUCAGCAGUAACAAACUCGAUUAGUAUCCAUGAGGAUGUGGGUUCGCUCCCUAGCCUUGCACAGUGGAUUAAGGAUCCAGUGUUGUGAGCUGUGAUGUAGGUCACAGACACGGCUUGGAUCUGGCAUUGCUGUGGCUGUGGUGUAGGCCAGCAGCUGCAGCUCCAAUUUGACCCCUAGCCUGGGACUUCCAUACGAUGCAGGUGCAGCCCUAACAAAACAAAACAAAAAAUUGGUGCCAAGAUAGACUUGUACUAAUAACCCUUCCUUUAGUUUCUCCCUAUAUAUUUACUUUUACUGUGGUCUGAAUGUUUGUGUCCCUCCCCCGCAAAUUCAUAUGUUGAACCUCAAUGUGAUGGCAGAUGGGGCCUUGGGAUUAGUGCCCUUAUAAGAGAGAUUCCAGAGAGCUCCCUCUCCCCUUCUUCUAUGUGAAGACACAGUGAGAAGUUGGCUCUCUAUGAACCAGAAAUGGGCUCUCACCUGCCUGUGCUGGCACCCUGAUCUUAGACUUUCAGCCUCCAACCAUGAGUAAUCCAUUUCUAUUUAUAAACUACCCAAUCUGUUGUAUUGUUACAGCAGCCCAAGUGGACUGAGACCCUUUGGCUGAAACCCUUUCCUACAGUCUGCCACCUUUGGGAGCCUGAAACUUCUGCCUUUGUCCUGUUGCUUUGGAAUCUACUUGCAAUUGUAUUCUUAAGAUGCUAGAUAAGCCAAAGUUCUGACCUUUUUUUUUUUUUUUAACACCUGCUGUUUCUCCCAAGUGACUCUUACCUCAUGCACAUGUUAAUAAAUGGUUUCCCUUUCUCA